GCGAGCAUGGUCUAGGGGCUAUGACUGCAGGUUCCCAACCUGCCGACCCGAGUUCAAUUCUCGGUGCUCGCACCA
rnacentral:tRNA from 3 species